rnacentral:rRNA from 1 species
GGGUUGUGAGGUUAAGCGACUAAGCGUACACGGUGGAUGCCCUGGCAGUCAGAGGCGAUGAAGGACGUGCUAAUCUGCGAUAAGCGUCGGUAAGGUGAUAUGAACCGUUAUAACCGGCGAUUUCCGAAUGGGGAAACCCAGUGUGAUUCGUCACACUAUCAUUAACUGAAUCCAUAGGUUAAUGAGGCGAACCGGGGGAACUGAAACAUCUAAGUACCCCGAGGAAAAGAAAUCAACCGAGAUUCCCCCAGUAGCGGCGAGCGAACGGGGAGGAGCCCAGAGCCUGAAUCAGUGUGUGUGUUAGUGGAAGCGUCUGGAAAGGCGCGCGAUACAGGGUGACAGCCCCGUACACAAAAAUGCACAUGCUGUGAGCUCGAUGAGUAGGGCGGGACACGUGGUAUCCUGUCUGAAUAUGGGGGGACCAUCCUCCAAGGCUAAAUACUCCUGACUGACCGAUAGUGAACCAGUACCGUGAGGGAAAGGCGAAAAGAACCCCGGCGAGGGGAGUGAAAAAGAACCUGAAACCGUGUACGUACAAGCAGUGGGAGCACGCUUAGGCGUGUGACUGCGUACCUUUUGUAUAAUGGGUCAGCGACUUAUAUUCUGUAGCAAGGUUAACCGAAUAGGGGAGCCGAAGGGAAACCGAGUCUUAACUGGGCGUUAAGUUGCAGGGUAUAGACCCGAAACCCGGUGAUCUAGCCAUGGGCAGGUUGAAGGUUGGGUAACACUAACUGGAGGACCGAACCGACUAAUGUUGAAAAAUUAGCGGAUGACUUGUGGCUGGGGGUGAAAGGCCAAUCAAACCGGGAGAUAGCUGGUUCUCCCCGAAAGCUAUUUAGGUAGCGCCUCGUGAAUUCAUCUCCGGGGGUAGAGCACUGUUUCG